CCUACGGGUGGCAGCAGUGAGGAAUAUUGGUCAAUGGACGAGAGUCUGAACCAGCCAAGUAGCGUGAAGGAUGACUGCCCUAUGGGUUGUAAACUUCUUUUAUAUGGGAAUAAAAUGUUCCACGUGUGGGAUUUUGUAUGUACCAUAUGAAUAAGGAUCGGCUAACUCGGUGCCAGCAGCCGCGGUAAUGCGGAGGAUCCGAGCGUUAUCCGGAUUUAUUGGGUUUAAAGGGAGCGUAGGUGGAUUGUUAAGUCAGUUGUGAAAGUUUGCGGCUCAACCGUAAAAUUGCAGUUGAAACUGGCAGUCUUGAGUACAGGAGAGGUAGGCGGAAUUCGUGGUGUAGCGGUGAAAUGCUUAGAUAUCACGAAGAACUCCGAUUGCGAAGGCAGUUCACUGGACUGCAACUGACACUGAGGCUCGAAAGUGUGGGUAUCAAACAGGAUUAGAUACCCCUGUAGUC
rnacentral:rRNA from 1 species